GAUGAACGCUGGCGGCGUGCCUAAUACAUGCAAGUCGAGCGAACGGACGAGAAGCUUGCUUCUCUGAUGUUAGCGGCGGACGGGUGAGUAACACGUGGAUAACCUACCUAUAAGACUGGGAUAACUUCGGGAAACCGGAGCUAAUACCGGAUGAUAUUUUGAACCGCAUGGUUCAAAAGUGAAAGACGGUCUUGCUGUCACUUAUAGAUGGAUCCGCGCUGCAUUAGCUAGUUGGUAAGGUAACGGCUUACCAAGGCAACGAUGCAUAGCCGACCUGAGAGGGUGAUCGGCCACACUGGAACUGAGACACGGUCCAGACUCCUACGGGAGGCAGCAGUAGGGAAUCUUCCGCAAUGGGCGAAAGCCUGACGGAGCAAAGCCGCGUGAGUGAUGAAGGUCUUCGGAUCGUAAAACUCUGUUAUUAGGGAAGAACAUAUGUGUAAGUAACUGUGCACAUCGUGACGGUACCUAAUCAGAAAGCCACGGCUAACUACGUG
rnacentral:rRNA from 1 species